rnacentral:lncRNA from 1 species
AUGGACGGAUGAACGGACAGACACAGACGGAGACGGAGACCGAGACCGAGACCGAGACCGAGCCCGAGACCGAGACCGAGACAGACACAGACGGAGACGGAGACGGACACAGAGAAAGACACAGAGACAGACACAGAGACAGACACAGAGACAGAGACAGACACAGACACAGACACAGACACAGAGACAGACACAGACGGAGAUCGAGACAGACAGAGACGGAGAUUGAGACAAACAGAGAUGGAGACAGAUGAAGACGGCGACAGACAGAGACAGACAGACGGAGACGGAGACAGGCGGAGAUGGAGGCAAGAUGGAGAUGGAGGCAGACGGAGAGAGAGACAGGCAGAGAUGGAGGCAAGACGGAGAGGCAGGCAGACGGAGAGGGAGACAGGUGGAGACGGAAGUAGACGGAGAGGGAAGCAGACGGAGACGGAGACAGGCGGAGACGGAGGCAAGAUGGAGAUGGAGGCAGACGGAGAUGGAGGCAGACGGAGAGGGAGGCAGACGGAGAGGGAGACAGGCGGAGACGGAGACGGAGACAGACGGAGACGGAGACAGACGGAGACGGAGACGGAGACGGAGACAGACGGAGACAGAGACAGACGGAGACGGAGACGGAGACGGAGACAGACGGAGACGGAGACAGACGGAGACGGAGACGGAGACGGAGACAGACGGAGACAGAGACAGACGGAGACGGAGACGGAGACGGAGACGGAGACGGAGACAGACGGAGACGGAGACGGAGACGGAGACGGAGACGGAGACGGAGACAGACGGAGACGGAGACGGAGACGGAGACAGACGGAGACAGAGACAGACGGAGACGGAGAGGAGACGGAGACAGACGGAGACGGAGACAGACGGAGACGGAGACGGAGACGGAGACAGACGGAGACGGAGACAGACGGAGACGGAGACGGAGACGGAGACAGACGGAGACGGAGACAGACGGAGACGGAGACGGAGACGGAGACAGACGGAGACGGAGACAGACGGAGACGGAGACGGAGACGGAGACGGAGACGGAGACGGAGACGGAGACGGAGACGGAGACGGAGACGGAGACGGAGACGGAGACGGAGACGGAGACGGAGACGGAGACGGAGACGGAGACGGAGACGGAGACGGAGACGGAGACGGAGACGGAGACGGAGACGGAGACGGAGACGGAGACGGAGACGGAGACGGAGACGGAGACGGAGACGGAGACGGAGACGGAGACGGAGACGGAGACGGAGACGGAGACGGAGACGGAGACGGAGACGGAGACGGAGACGGAGACGGAGACGGAGACGGAGACGGAGACGACGGAGACGGAGACGGAGACGGAGACGGAGACGGAGACGGAGACGGAGACGGAGACGGAGACGGAGACGGAGACGGAGACGGAGACGGAGACGGAGACGGAGACGGAGACAGACGGAGACGGAGACGGAGACGGAGACAGACGGAGACGGAGACAGACGGAGACGGAGACGGAGACGGAGACAGACGGAGACGGAGACAGACGGAGACGGAGACGGAGACGGAGACAGACGGAGACGGAGACGGAGACGGAGACGGAGACGGAGACGGAGACGGAGACGGAGACGGAGACGGAGACGGAGACGGAGACGGAGACGGAGACGGAGACGGAGACGGAGACGGAGACGGAGACGGAGACGGAGACGGAGACGGAGACGGAGACGGAGACGGAGACGGAGACGGAGACGGAGACGGAGACGGAGACGGAGACGGAGACGGAGACGGAGACGGAGACGGAGACGGAGACGGAGACGGAGACGGAAGAGACGGAGACGGAGACGGAGACGGAGACAGACGGAGACGGAGACAGACGGAGACGGAGACGGAGACGGAGACGGAGACGGAGACGGAGACGGAGACGGAGACGGAGACGGAGACGGAGACGGAGACGGAGACGGAGACGGAGACGGAGACGGAGACGGAGACGGAGACGGAGACGGAGACGGAGACGGAGACGGAGACGGAGACGGAGACAGACGGAGACGGAGACAGACGGAGACGGAGACGGAGACGGAGACAGACGGAGACGGAGACAGACGGAGACGGAGACGGAGACGGAGACGGAGACGGAGACGGAGACAGACGGAGACGGAGACGGAGACGGAGACAGACGGAGACGGAGACAGACAGAGAUGCAGAUUGAGACAGACGGAGAUGGAGACAGAUGAAGACGGCGACAGACAGAGACAGACAGACGGAGACGGAGACAGGCGGAGAUGGAGACAGACAGAGAUGGAGACAGGUGGAGAUGGAGACAGAUGGAGAUGGAGACAGACAGAGACGGAGACAGACGGAGACGGAGACAAGAUGAAGAUGAAAAAAGGUGUAGAUGGAGACAGACGGAGACAGAGACAGACGGAGACGGAGACAGACGGAGACGGAGACAGACGGAGACGGAGACAGACGGAGACGGAGGGGGAGGGAGGGGGAGGGAGAGGGAGGGGGAGGGGGAGGGAGGGGGGGGGAGACAGACGGAGACGGAGACAGACGGAGACGGAGACAGACGGAGACGGAGACAGACGGAGACGGAGACAGACGGAGACGGAGACAGACGGAGACGGAGACAGACGGAGACGGAGACAGACGGAGACAGACGGAGACGGAGACAGACGGAGAUGGAGACAGACGGAGAUGGAGACAGAGACAGACGAAGAUGGAGACAGACGAAGAUGAAGACAGACGGAGACGGAGACAGACGAAUAUGGAGACAGACGAAUAUGGAGACGGAGACAGAUGGAGACGAUGUCAGAUGGAGACAGAGACACAUGGAGACAGAGACCGACAGAGAUGGAGAUGGAGACAGACGGGGACAGAGAUGGAGACAGGCGGAGAUGGAGACAAAAUGGAGACGAUGUCAGAUGGAGACGAUGUCAGAUGGAGACAGAGACACAUGGAGACAGAGACAGACAGAGAUGGAGAUGGAGACAGACGGGGACAGAGAUGGAGACAGGCGGAGAUGGAGACAAAAUGGAGAC